rnacentral:rRNA from 1 species
UACAUGAGUGGUAAGCGUUAUCUAUAAUUGUUAGGUGUAAAAAAUCUUACGAACCGCGUUGAUUUAUAUACAAGUAAUUUUAUACAGCGUAAAUUAUUUUAUACAGAAAGCUAGGCGGCUUAAUUAUUGGGGAUAAAAUCCUAUAUUUGUAAUGCCUAUAGUCGGCCCAAAGACUAAUGUAUCUAGCUGGUAUAAUUUUUGUUUUUUAAGAUGAAAGUAUAGGGGCUGGCGAGGAUUAGAGACCCUUUUAAACUAUACUGUAAAUUAUGGUAAGAUGCUAGUAUAGCAUGGCUAACGUAUAACUUACCUACCGGGGGUACAACCGCAAGGUUUAAACUUAAACGAAUUGGCGGGACUUUAUAUAUGGUGGAACAUGUGACUUAAUUCGGUAAUCCCCGCAAAAUCUUACCAGCCCAUCAAUAAAUAAUGUUAUAUAGCAAAAUAUAGACAGAUUUAUUUUUAGGUAUCGCAUGGCUGUCGUCAGCUCGUGCUGUAAAGUGUAGCAUUUAGUUGUAGAAACGAGCGUAACCUACACUAACAAUAGCAGCAUUUAAAUUGUUCUGGAAUAGAUUAGAUUGUAAACUGCACUGCAGUAUAUGAUUUUUUUUUAGGAAUUAUUGUUUGAUUGUUAGUUAUGUAGAUGAAGUCAAGUCUUUAUGGUCUAAUUGGGUUGGGCCGCACACGUGUUACAAUAAAAAAGACAGAGAUAUGAAAUAUAGCGAUAUAUUUUUUUUGAAAAAUUUUUUAGUAUGAAUUGUUAGUUUCAAGUCACUAACAUGAAAACGGAAUCAUCAGUAAUCGCAGUUUAGAAUGCUGCGGUGAAGUUAUAACGAAGUUUGCACACACCGCCCAUCACGCUCGAAGAAUCGAAUUGGCUUAAGUUGUGUACAUUGGGUGCUAUUAUGCGCCAUAUAUAACCAAAUGAAACUAGUUGGGUAAUCUGAGUGAAG